GAUUAUUCAUUGCAAGGGCGCACGGAGGAUGCCUUGACACAAAAUGACGAUGAAGGACGCUGCGUGACAGCGAUAAGCUUCGGGGAGCCGUCGAGCGGGCUUUGAUCCGGAGAUUUCCGAAUGGGGCAACCCUAUCAGGUAAACCCUGAUAACCCGCCUAAAUUUUUGGACUAGGCAUUUGGCCUAGUGCUGAAAGCAAGUCCAAAAACUUAGGCGGGAGUUAACCUGGGGAAGUGAAACAUCUCAGUACCCAGAGGAAAAGAAAUAGAAUUAGAUACCGUCAGUAGCGGCGAGCGAAAGCGGCAAAGCCUAAACUUUCUGUUAAUUAAUUUAUUAGUUGGCAGGGAGGGUAAUAAGGGCAGAACACUGAACUUUUUACUUUGCACAAUACACAUCAUGUGCAGGGUAAAAAUUUCUAAAGAGUUACAAAUUGAAAUGCUAGCAGAAUGGCCUUGGAACAGCCAACCACAGCGGGUGACAGUCCCGUACGCGAAAGCGUUUCAACUCUUGUUUUGUUUCUUGAGUAGCCCAGGAUAAGACUGUCCGGGGUGAAUUUGUCCAUACUACUGGAUAAGGCUAAAUACAUUUUGUGAUCGAUAGUGAACCAGUACCGUGAGGGAAAGGCGAAAAGAACCCCGGCAAGGGGAGUGAAAUAGAAACUGAAACCGUGUGCCUACAAAGAGCCGGAGCCUGCCGUCGCAAGACGUCGGGUGACGGUGUGCCUAUUGAAGAAUGACCCAACGAGUUUACUUACGCUGCACUAUAAUUCGCACUGCGAAGUAUGGAAAGGGAAACCGAGUGUUAAUAGCGCGACUAAGAACGCAAGUUCUUUAUGCAGUAUAGGUAAGACCC
rnacentral:ncRNA from 1 species